UACGUAGGGGGCGAGCGUUGUCCGGAUUUAUUGGGCGUAAAGAGCUCGUAGGCGGCCUUCUAAGUCGGACGUGAAAUCCCUCGGCUUAACCGAGGAACUGCGUCCGAUACUGAAAGGCUUGAAUCCGGGAGAGGGAUGUGGAAUUCCAGGUGUAGCGGUGAAAUGCGUAGAUAUCUGGAGGAACACCGGUGGCGAAGGCGGCAUCCUGGACCGGUAUUGACGCUGAGGCGCGAAAGCUAGGGGAGCAAACGGG
rnacentral:rRNA from 1 species